rnacentral:rRNA from 1 species
GAUGAACGCUGACAGAAUGCUUAACACAUGCAAGUCAACUUGAAUUUGGGUUUUUAACUUGGGUUUGGGUGGCGGACGGGUGAGUAACGCGUAAAGAACUUGCCUCACAGCUAGGGACAACAUUUGGAAACGAAUGCUAAUACCUAAUAUUAUGAUAAUAGGGCAUCCUAUAAUUAUGAAAGCUAUAAGCGCUGUGAGAGAGCUUUGCGUCCCAUUAGCUAGUUGGAGAGGUAACGGCUCACCAAGGCGAUGAUGGGUAGCCGGCCUGAGAGGGUGAUCGGCCACAAGGGGACUGAGACACGGCCCUUACUCCUACGGGAGGCAGCAGUGGGGAAUAUUGGACAAUGGACCGAGAGUCUGAUCCAGCAAUUCUGUGUGCACGAUGAAGUUUUUCGGAAUGUAAAGUGCUUUCAGUUGGGAAGAAACAAAUGACGGUACCAACAGAAGAAGUGACGGCUAAAUACGUG